GACGAACGCUGGCGGCGUGCUUAACACAUGCAAGUCGAACGGAAAGGCCCUGCUUUUGUGGGGUGCUCGAGUGGCGAACGGGUGAGUAACACGUGAGUAACCUGCCCUUGACUUUGGGAUAACUUCAGGAAACUGGGGCUAAUACCGGAUAGGAGCUCCUGCUGCAUGGUGGGGGUUGGAAAGUUUCGGCGGUUGGGGAUGGACUCGCGGCUUAUCAGCUUGUUGGUGGGGUAGUGGCUUACCAAGGCUUUGACGGGUAGCCGGCCUGAGAGGGUGACCGGCCACAUUGGGACUGAGAUACGGCACAGACUCCUACGGGAGGCAGCAGUGGGGAAUAUUGCACAAUGGGCGGAAGCCUGAUGCAGCAACGCCGCGUGCGGGAUGACGGCCCUCGGGUUGUAAACCGCUUUCGCCUGUGACGAAGCGUGAGUGACGGUAAUGGGUAAAGAAGCACCGGCUAACUACGUG
rnacentral:rRNA from 1 species